AUGCCCCCUUGGGAGCGCUUCCGCGAGCUCUGCCUCCUUCGUUUUGGGCCCCCGAUCCGUGGGAGCCGCCUGAAGGAGCUAGGCUGCCUUCCCUUCACCUCCAUGGUUCAGGACUUCGCCGACCGUUUCCAGGCCCUGGCAUGCCACACGUCGGGUGUGACGGCGCAGCAGCGGGCCGACCUCUUUGUCGGUGGACUUCCGGAUCACAUCCGCGUGGACGUGGAGCUUCGGGGACCCCAGGAUCUCCAGACGGCCAUGUACUACGCCCGCGCGUUCGAGCGCUGCGCGGUGGCCGUCCAGCAGGAGUCACCGUCCCGGGCCACUGGGUCGCUACCCUGGCCAGAUCCCGCUCAAGGUCGGCCUGCUCAGUCUUCCGCGGCACCCCUCUCCGCGACCGCGGCGCGCCCGUUCCGCCGGCUCACCUCGGUCGAGCUACUCGAGCGUCGCCGCCAAGGGUUGUGCUUCAACUGCGACGAGCCCUAUACGCCCGGCCACGCCCGCCCGCGACUCUUCUACCUGGAGGUUGCAGACUACAUUCCGGAGGACGCCGUCGCCGCCGACCUUGCCGCCCCAGCUGUCGCGAAGGUGUUUGACGCUGGUUGA
rnacentral:rRNA from 1 species